rnacentral:rRNA from 1 species
GACGAACGCUGGCGGCGUGCUUAACACAUGCAAGUCGAACGGAAAGGCCCUGCUUUUGUGGGGUGCUCGAGUGGCGAACGGGUGAGUAACACGUGAGUAACCUGCCCUUGACUUUGGGAUAACUUCAGGAAACUGGGGCUAAUACCGGAUAGGAGCUCCUGCUGCAUGGUGGGGGUUGGAAAGUUUCGGCGGUUGGGGAUGGACUCGCGGCUUAUCAGCUUGUUGGUGGGGUAGUGGCUUACCAAGGCUUUGACGGGUAGCCGGCCUGAGAGGGUGACCGGCCACAUUGGGACUGAGAUACGGCCCAGACUCCUACGGGAGGCAGCAGUGGGGAAUAUUGCACAAGGGGCGGAAGCCUGAUGCAGCAACGCCGCGUGCGGGAUGACGGCCUUCGGGUUGUAACCCGUUUUCGCCUGUGACGAAGCGUGAGUGACGGUAAUGGGUAAAGAAGCACCGGCUAACUACGUG